CGGGUGAGUAACGCGUGAGUAACCUGCCCUAGAGUGGGGGACAACAGUUGGAAACGACUGCUAAUACCGCAUAAGCCCACGGUACCGCAUGGUACUGAGGGAAAAGGAUUUAUUCGCUUUAGGAUGGACUCGCGUCCAAUUAGCUAGUUGGUGAGGUAACGGCCCACCAAGGCGACGAUUGGUAGCCGGACUGAGAGGUUGAACGGCCACAUUGGGACUGAGACACGGCCCAGACUCCUACGGGAGGCAGCAGUGGGGGAUAUUGCACAAUGGGGGAAACCCUGAUGCAGCGACGCCGCGUGGAGGAAGAAGGUUUUCGGAUUGUAAACUCCUGUCGUUAGGGACGAUAAUGACGGUACCUAACAAGAAAGCACCGGCUAACUACGUGCCAGCAGCCGCGGUAAAACGUAGGGUGCAAGCGUUGUCCGGAAUUACUGGGUGUAAAGGGAGCGCAGGCGGGAAGACAAGUUGGAAGUGAAAACCAUGGGCUCAACCCAUGAAUUGCUUUCAAAACUGUUUUUCUUGAGUAGUGCAGAGGUAGAUGGAAUUCCCGGUGUAGCGGUGGAAUGCGUAGAUAUCGGGAGGAACACCAGUGGCGAAGGCGGUCUACUGGGCACCAAUUGACGCUGAGGCUCGAAAGCAUGGGUAGCAAACAGGAUUAGAUACCCUGGUAGUCCAUGCCGUAAACGAUGAUUACUAGGUGUUGGGGGAUUGACCCCCUCAGUGCCGCAGUUAACACAAUAAGUAAUCCACCUGGGGAGUACGACCGCAAGGUUGAAACUCAAAGGAAUUGACGGGGGCCCGCACAAGCAGUGGAGUAUGUGGUUUAAUUCGAAGCAACGCGAAGAACCUUACCAGGUCUUGACAUCCGAUGCAUAGCACA
rnacentral:rRNA from 1 species